rnacentral:rRNA from 1 species
UACGAAGGGGGCUAGCGUUGCUCGGAAUCACUGGGCGUAAAGCGCACGUAGGCGGAUCGCUAAGUCAGGGGUGAAAUCCUGGAGCUCAACUCCAGAACUGCCUUUGAUACUGGCAAUCUCGAGUCCGGGAGAGGUGAGUGGAACUGCGAGUGUAGAGGUGAAAUUCGUAGAUAUUCGCAAGGACACCAGUGGCGAAGGCGGCUCACUGGCCCGGUACUGACGCUGAGGUGCGAAAGCGUGGGGAGCAAACAGG